CACGUGGGGUGCGAGCGUUGUCCGGAAUUAUUGGGCGUAAAGAGCUCGUAGGCGGUGUGUCGCGUCGGCCGUGAAAACCUGCAGCUUAACUGUGGGCUUGCGGUCGAUACGGCAUCACUGGAGUUCGGCAGGGGAGACUGGAAUUCCUGGUGUAGCGGUGAAAUGCGCAGAUAUCAGGAGGAACACCGGUGGCGAAGGCGGGUCUCUGGGCCGAUACUGACGCUGAGGAGCGAAAGCGUGGGGAGCGAACAGG
rnacentral:rRNA from 1 species